AUAAUCGGGGGUGCUGAAUGUGAUUCGGCUGAGAGGAGGAUAAAAUCCGAAAACCCUUCUAACCUGAUAUGGAUAAUACCGGCGCAGGAAGAUUA
rnacentral:ncRNA from 1 species